AACGAACGCUGGCGGCAAGCUUAACACAUGCAAGUCGAACGGAUUAUACUUUGUAGCUUGCUACAAAUAAUAAUUAGUGGCAGACGGGUGAGUAAUGCAUAGGAAUCUACCUAGUAGUAUGGGAUAGCCACUAGAAAUGGUGGGUAAUACUGUAUAAUCCCUGCGGGGGAAAGAUUUAUCGCUAUUAGAUGAGCCUAUGUUAGAUUAGCUAGUUGGUAGGGUAAAGGCCUACCAAGGCGAUGAUCUAUAGCUGGUCUGAGAGGAUGAUCAGCCACACUGGAACUGAGAUACGGUCCAGACUCCUACGGGAGGCAGCAGUGGGGAAUAUUGGACAAUGGGCGCAAGCCUGAUCCAGCUAUGCCGCGUGAGUGAGGAAGGCCCUAGGGUUGUAAAACUCUUUCAGUAGGGAAGAUAAUGACGGUACC
rnacentral:rRNA from 1 species